rnacentral:rRNA from 1 species
ACUCCUACGGGAGGCAGCAGUGGGGAAUAUUGCACAAAUGGGGGAAACCCUGAAUGCAGCCAUGCCGCGUGUGUGAAGAAGGCCUUCGGGUUGUAAAGCACUUUUCAGUAGGGAAGGAAGGUAGUGUAGUUUAACACCUGCAUUAUUUUGACGUUACCUACNGAAGAAGCACCGGCUAACUCCGUGCCAGCAGCCGCGGUAAUACGGAGGGUGCGAGCGUUAAUCGGAAUUACUGGGCGUAAAGCGCAUGCAGGCGGCCUGUUAAGUCAGAUGUGAAAGCCCGGGGCUUAACCUCGG